rnacentral:rRNA from 1 species
AUCUACAUAAAUUUGAUGUAGGUUUAGAUAAAACGCUAUAUAGAGACAUAACACAUGCAAGUAAUUAUAUUAUUAUUUAGUAAUAAAUAAAUUAUAAUUGCGUUCAGGUGAGUAUAAUAAGGUAUUACACCUUAAUAGAUGUAGGUAGUAAUCUUGAUUAAUUGAAAUUCUUAUAAAUUAUAUAAGAUACCUAUAUUAUUGGAUAAUUAUAAUAAAUAAAAUUUUAUAAUUUAGAUUAAUCAGUAUUAAAUAAUUAAUAUUAAUAGAUUAGCCGAUAACCUAUACUUCAUGGUGGAAGCCAUAAGGAGCACAUAAAAUUAAACAUUUUACUACGAAUUAAAGUAGCAGCAGUGAGGAAUUAUUGACAAUGAUCGUUAAGAUUGAUCGUGUUAUCUAUAGAAGAUAGAAAAGAAUAUAGGUGAUAGAAAGAAUAAUAAUAACGCCCUAGCAUUUAUGCUAGGGCGCAUACCUUCCCCACAUCCCUAUAUCUAUCAUCCUAUUAUCUUAUUCUUAAUUUAUAAUUAUUUAUAAUUUAAUAGAUAUAUGAUACGUAAUUUUCAUUAUAAAUAUCUUAAUUAUUUAAAACAUAAUGAUAAAUAAAUAAUGAAGUUCUUACCAAGAUGUGUGCCAGCAGUAGCGGUGAUACACACAGAGCAAGCGUUUAUCGUUUUUGGUUUAAAGGAUCCGUAGGCUUAUAUUAAAAUAUAUAUAUAUUAUAUUAAUAUAUAAACAUAUUUAUAAAGAUAUGAAAUAUAUAUAAAAAAAAAUAUAAUAAAAAAAAUAGAAUCAUUAGAAUUGAUAUUUAUGUAAAUUAUAUAAAGAGUUAAAAUGCGACAACAUAUAAUAGACAGCAUAAGAGGUAUCAAAUAAUGAUUGACGCUGAGGGAUGAAAGCUAUAGAAGCGACAUGGAUUAGUGACCCAUUUAGUUAUAGCCAUAAACUAUGUAUACCGCAAAAAGUUAAGAAUAGGGCUUACUGGAGGAACGCCCAAGCUUAUUCCUUUGGAAAAUGCUUGGGCGCAUAACUCAGACUUAUUAGUAUUCUUCUCCAAAAUAAGAAAAAAUAUAUAUAUAAUAUUUAAUAAUAUAUAAAUAUAUAUUAGAAUAAAAGCUUUAAAAAUAUUAAUUAUCUAAAUAAAAAUAUUAGGGAAGAUAGAUUAAUAUAAGAAUAAAUUAACAAAAAUGUAAGUGAAAUAUGAAGAGUAUACCACCAGAAUAGUACGUUCGCAAGAAUGAAAUAUAAUACAUUAGACUCCUAUACAACUACGCAGUGGAUCAUGCUGUUUAAUUGGAUAAUACCCCAGAAUCUUACCAAAUCUCGAAUAAAUAAUAGAUUUACGCCCAAGCUUUUAGCUUGGGCGCAUCUUAGUUAUUACAGGCGUUACAUUGUUGUCGUCAGUUCAUGCCUUAUGGUAUCUUAUUAAUUUAAUGAAUGAACGUAAUCCUUACCAACUAAUAUAUUAAUUAAUAGAUUAAUAUAUAAAUGUUAUAAGUAUAAUAGGAAUAUUAUAGGAAGUUAGGGAUAAAGACUAAUCCGCAUGACCCUUAUGAUUUGGGCUACAGGUGUGAUACAAAUAAAUUAAUAAAAAAAUCUUUAGUAAUAAAAGAAUUAAAAUAUUUAAAAAGGAGAGUGAAACAUAAAUUGGAUUAAUUGCUGUAAUUCGCAUUUAUGAAACUGGAACUGCCAGUAAUCGUAUUAAAGUAAAGUACGGUGAAACGGAAAUGUAUUUAGUACUAAUUACUCAUCAAUAGCAUAGAUAUGAUUCAUAAUCAUUUUUAUAUAGAUAAUACUAGAUAUUAUCAUUCAAAUUCCUAAUGAUAUUAUGAUUUUAUGAUCUAAUUAUUAGGUAAGUUAGUUAUAACUAUAAAUAUAAAUAAAAAAAAUAUAUAAUGAUUAUAGAUAAAAUCUGAGAUAUGCUAUAAGUUGAAAUAUAGUUCGGGUAAGGGAACUUGCUCGGGAAAAAUUAAAUAA